GGUAGUCCACGCCGUAAACGAUGAGUGCUAGGUGUUAGGCCCUUUCCGGGGCUUAGUGCCGGAGCUAACNCAAUAAGCACUCCGCCUGGGGAGUACGACCGCAAGGUUGAAACUCAAAGGAAUUGACGGGGGCCCGCACAAGCGGUGGAGCAUGUGGUUUAAUUNGAAGCAACGCGAAGANCCUUACCAGGUCUUGACAUCCCGAUGCUAUUNUUAGAGAUAGGAAGUUACUUCGGUACAUCGGAGACAGGUGGUGCAUGGUUGUCGUCAGCUCGUGUCGUGAGAUGUUGGGUUAAGUCCCGCAACGAGCGCAACCCUUAUUGUUAGUUGCCAUCAUUAAGUUGGGCACUCUAGCGAGACUGCCGGUAAUAAACCGGAGGAAGGUGGGGAUGACGUCAAAUCAUCAUGCCCCUUAUGACCUGGGCUACACACGUGCUACAAUGGUCGGUACAACGAGUUGCGAGCCGGUGACGGCAAGCUAAUCUCUGAAAGCCGAUCUCAGUUCGGAUUGGAGGCUGCAACUCGCCUCCAUGAAGUCGGAAUCGCUAGUAAUCGCGGAUCAGCACGCCGCGGUGAAUACGCUCCCGGGCCUUGUACACACCGCCCGUCACACCACGAGAGUUUGUAACACCCGAGGUCGGUGAGGUANCCUUUUAGGG
rnacentral:rRNA from 1 species